rnacentral:rRNA from 1 species
CCUAAAUUUAAGUGGAUCUGGAAAGCUAGUAUUCAAUUGAAGAUUAAAAUCUUUCUAUGGCAACUAUUUCAAAAUGUUGUGCUUAUGCGGGAUAACUUGCGGAAGAGGAAUUGGCCCGGGAAUCCUGUUUGCUCUUUCUGCACUAAUAUGGAAAAUGCAAAUCAUCUAUUCUUUACAUGUCCGCUAGCUCGAACGGUCUGGGGGACCCUGGGUAUUACAGCUGGGGCUUCCUGUUGCCCCCGGUCUCUGUGGCAGUGUUGGGCAUGGUUGUGUAAAUUUUUCCCAGGUGGGAAAAGAUUAUAUAUGAUGAUUACUACUUCUAUGUGCUGGGGAAUCUGGUGCCUUCGAAAUAAAGUCACUUUCGACAAUUACACUGCUCGUACUCCGCUGGAGGCUGUUUUCAGUGCGUGUUCUUUUAUGUUGUAUUGGGAAGGAUUGCUGAAAGAAGAAGGCAGGACGAAGUUCCAGGCAGGGGUGAAAAGGUUGGCAUAUGCGGCAACAGCUCUGGCGGACAGGUCCUACUCGCAAGGCAAGAUGCUCUUGACGGAUGGAGAUGGGAUCCAGAUCGGCUAA